UACGUAGGGUGCAAGCGUUGUCCGGAAUUAUUGGGCGUAAAGAGCUCGUAGGCGGUCUGUCGCGUCGGCUGUGAAAACACGGGGCUCAACUCCGUGCCUGCAGUCGAUACGGGCAGACUAGAGUUCGGUAGGGGAGACUGGAAUUCCUGGUGUAGCGGUGAAAUGCGCAGAUAUCAGGAGGAACACCGGUGGCGAAGGCGGGUCUCUGGGCCGAUACUGACGCUGAGGAGCGAAAGCGUGGGGAGCGAACGGG
rnacentral:rRNA from 1 species